rnacentral:rRNA from 1 species
GAACGAACGCUAGCGGUGCGUUUUAAGCAUGCAAGUCGAACGGUAUUUUUGUUGCUUGCAACAAAAAGAGAGUGGCGAACGGGUGAGUAACACGUAAGUAAUUCUUCUAUAUGACUGGAAUAGCCAGUGGAAACAUUGGGUAAUGCCAGAUACUUUAUGUAAAGGAAGCUUUACAUAAAAAAGGGUAUUUUUAUGCCGCAUAUAGCGAAGCUUGCGGCUGAUUAGCUUGUUGGUAAGGUAAAAGCUUACCAAGGCGACGAUCAGUAGCCGGCCUGAGAGGGUGAUCGGCCACACUGGGACUGAGACACGGCCCAGACUCCUACGGGAGGCAGCAGCUAAGAAUCUUCCGCAAUGGGCGAAAGCCUGACGGAGCGACACCGCGUGAAUGAUGAAGGCCGAGAGGUUGUAAAGUUCUUUUUUCGUUGAAGAAUAAUUUUUAUGCGCAAGUAUAAAAAGAUGACAUUAAGCGAAGAAUAAGCCCCGGCUAAUUACGUGCCAGCAGCCGCGGUAAUACGUAAGGGGCGAGCGUUGUUCGGAUUUAUUGGGCGUAAAGAGUAUGUAGGCGGAUAAGUCAGCUUUGUGAUAAAGGUCGUAGCUCAACUACGGUGUAUUAUGAAGAACCACUUGUCUUGAGUUGUGGAGAGGGAACUGGAAUUCCUGGUGUAGGGGUGAAAUCCAUAGAUAUCAGGAAGAACACCAGAGGCGAAGGCGAGUUCCUAGCCAAUAACUGACGCUGAGAUACGAAAGCAUGGGGAGCGAACGGGAUUAGAUACCCCGGUAGUCCAUGCCGUAAACGAUGUGCACUAGGUGAUAGGUUGUAUAAACUUAUUGCCGAAGCUAACGCGAUAAGUGCACCGCCUGGGAAGUAUGCCGGCAACGGUGAAACUCAAAGGAAUUGACGGGGGCCCGCACAAGCGGUGGAGCAUGUGGUUUAAUUCGAUGAUACGCGAGGAACCUUACCAGGGUUUGACAUAUACUGGAAGUCGUAAGAGAUUGCGAUGUCCUUCGGGACUAGUAUACAGGUGCUGCAUGGCUGUCGUCAGCUCGUGCUGUGAAGUGUUGGGUUAAGUCCCGCAACGAGCGCAACCCCUGUUGUUUGUUACCAGCACAUAAUGGUGGGGACUCAAGCAAAACUGCCAGUGAUAAACUGGAGGAAGGCGGGGACGACGUCAAGUCAUCAUGGCCCUUAUAUCCUGGGCUACACACGUGCUACAAUGGCUGAUACAGAGCGCAGCGAAACAGUGAUGUUAAGCAUAAUCGCACAAAGUCAGUCUCAGUUCGGAUUGAAGUCUGAAAUUCGACUUCAUGAAGUUGGAAUCGCUAGUAAUCGCGCAUCAGAAUGGCGCGGUGAAUAUGUUCCCGGGCCUCGUACACACCGCCCGUCACACCACCCGAGUUGAGGGUACCCGAAGCCGUUAGCCUAACCGCAAGGAGGGCAAUGUCGAAGGUAUGCUUAGUAAGGGGGGUGAAGUCGUAACAAGGUAGCCGUACCGGAAGGUGCGGCUGGAUCACCUCCUUUCU